rnacentral:lncRNA from 1 species
CUCAAGUCUCGGGCCGUUCUAGGGGAGCCGCGUGGUCUUUGCUGCUGGGGACGCUGGAACCACGCGGCGUGCCCCUGCCGGCGCCGGCCGCGGUCUUGCCGCCCUCAGUGAGGUGGAAGCCGACGUGAGAAAAGCAGAGAUGGUGGAUGGAAGCAAAGAGACUGGGUCUUGACGGUGUUGACUAACCGUAUGGGUCCGGCUGGACCUCAGUCGGCCUCUCAGUUAAAGUCGCCACAGCGAAUUCUCUUUUUUGUCUCAACCAGUCGGAUUUUCUGGCACUUGCAUCCGGAAGAACCCUGGUUAGUAGAGCUGAAAGCAAGUGUGCAGAAUGGCUCUGCCUUCGGGGUGUGCCGGCUGUGGCUAAGUCUGGGGACAUCACGUGCUGACGCUGUGGGCCCGGGGAGACCCCUGUCCUGCCCACCCAAUUCACAGGUGGAGAAACGGAGGCCCAGGAACGGGGGGGGGGGGGACUCCCGGAAUGGCUCGAACGCCCAGGCUCAGCGACUUCAGGGUGUCCACAGAGCUUUGCGCCAGGUGCUGUGGGGAACCAAGCGCCCUUGACCCCUGGGGAAGGGUUUCAGAGCCUGGCGGUGGGCCGCUUUGUCUGGCCUUUGAUGACGGAUAUGACAGCGGUACACGAAGCGCCCCGGUGCAGGAAGCUGAGGACAGAGCUCAGAGUUGUGUCAAAACAAAAUCUGCGCGUUGGGUACAUCUGUAUUUUGUUCUGGGUCACUGGCUGCCGUCUGCUGUCUGCCACGGAAGAAGGUUGAAUCUCCUAGGAGACUCUUGCUUGCCGAGCCUUGGGUCACGAGGGUCAUCAACAACCACGGCACCAGUUUUCAGUGAGGACCUCCCGUGCGUCCAGUGCUGUCCCGAGUCCUGGAGACACCGCGCAUACACAGACACGGUCCUCACCCCGCUUUCCUCUGUGCCUCCGGCGUCCCCUCUGCUGUGA